rnacentral:lncRNA from 1 species
UUCAACUUCUUUUCUAAAGGAAGCGCUGCUCUUAUUUAAAUUAAAUAUUGGAAAAGGAAAAUGGGGUUUUAGGUUGCAUUUUUAUUGUUUAUUUAUUCUUUAACAGAUUUUUAUUGGCCAUUGUGUUUGAAUAAAUGUGUGUCUUUGUAUAUAUAGAGGGAGAGAUUAUAUAUUUAAAAUGAUAAGUGCUAUGAUUUCAUUUUCCUCAUAAGUUGUUCAAAUGUUAUAUGAACUGCUUGUGAUAAUAAUGAAUUGCUUGCUUUUAGUCUAGAAGUGCUUUGUUAUUCUAAACAAUUGUUGCUUCCUGUUUAUUGAAUUUGAUGUGAUUGUUUGUGCUUGUAUCAUUCUGAUACUAAUUAAUCGUCAAAGAAAAUGUUGCCACUAUCCAAAUAGGCUAAUUGGAUAGCGAAAGUGGGGACGUCUCGGCGUCCAAGAGGAUCAGAUUCCUUGAUAAGUCCGAUAUUUAGAGAAUUAUGGUCCAUUAGAGUUUGAAAUGAACCUAUAAAUAAAGUAUGUAUCUAUAUUGCUUUGAACAUAUUGUAAGCAUUGAAAAGAUGAUUGAAACUGUUUUUAAAAUGGCGUUGUCAUUUUCUCUAAGUUUUGAACUUGAGCCUUGUGUCUAAUGGUCUUUCAGUAGUCUGCAUAUGUACCGAGUCGCACGUGUUCACUCAUGCAUCAUCAAUUCACAUGUCAAAUACAUCAAGUAGCAUAUUGGUUGUCGGUCUCGAACACAAUGAUGCGAGUUUAAAACAUACUAAAAUAGAUUUUGCUAAAGAAUUAUCAAAGUAUUUGAAUGGUUCGAACAAGAUCCACAAUGGACCAAAGUUCUCUAUAUGUUUGACAUUCGAACAAGAGUUAGAUUGCACUCGAGACGUCACAAUAAACUGUAAGGAUUCAGCCCUGGUGCUUGCAAGUGCAUAAUGAUAUGACUACUUUUCGUGAAAUGUAUGUGAUUGCUCAAUGAGGUUUUAAAUAAUAAUUAUUGUGUAUCGCAGAUGAGUGGAUGCUUCAUGUUAUUCUGACAAUAUGUUGAUAUGAUUUUGAGUCG